GCAGCAGCCGCGGUAAUACGGAGGGUGCAAGCGUUAAUCGGAAUUACUGGGCGUAAAGCGCACGCAGGCGGUCUGACAAGUCAGAUGUGAAAUCCCCGGGCUUAACCUGGGAACUGCAUUUGAAACUGUCAGGCUGGAGUCUUGUAGAGGGGGGUGGAAUUCCAGGUGUAGCGGUGAAAUGCGUAGAGAUCUGGAGGAAUACCGGUGGCGAAGGCGGCCCCCUGGACAAAGACUGACGCUCAGGUGCGAAAGCGUGGGGAGCAAACAGGAUUAGAUACCCGAGUAGUCCCUGUCUCUUAUAC
rnacentral:rRNA from 1 species